rnacentral:rRNA from 1 species
GACGAACGCUGGCGGCGUGCUUGACACAUGCAAGUCGAACGGAAAGGCCUGCUUUCCCUUGUGGAUUGCGGGUACUCGAGUGGCGAACUGGUGAGUAACACGUGAGUGAUCUGCCCCCAACUUGGGUAUAAGCCUGGGAAACUGGGUCUAAUUCCCGAUAGGACUGCAGGGUGGUGCCGGUGGUGGAACACGAUUUUCUAGUGGUUGGGGAUGAGCUCGCGGCCUAUCAGCUUGUUGGUGGGGUAAUGUCCUACCAAGGCGGCGACGGGUAGCCGGCCUGAGAGGGUGGACGGCCACAUUGGGACUGAGUUACGGCCCAGACUCCUACGGGAGGCAGCAGUGGGGAAUAGUGCACAAUGGGCGGAAGCCUGAUGCAGCGACGCCGCGUGGGGGAUGACGGCCUUCGGGUUGUAAACUCCUUUCGACCGCGAGGAAGCCACCUGGUUGGAAGGGUGGUGACGUUAGUGGUAGAAGAAGCACCGGCUAACUACGUG